UUGCCUGGGGGCACCUACCGGUAGACCAUGAGCUCUGAUUUUUUUUUUUUACACACCAUAUAUACCAUAUUUUCUACAUUUUCAAUUAUUUAUAGCCUAUAUAUUUUCUUCUUCAUUUAAAAUACAUUUACAACAACGACUGGUUUAACUUUUUCCAAUUUCGAGCUCCCACUUUUGUAAACAGUUCGUCUGUGCAUCUUGCAAUAUUUGAAGAAAAGUGGCGACAGCAAAAACAAAAAACUGAAUCCAGUGAAACUGAGUACUCAAUCCAUGGGAACUUGUUGUAGUAAAAGGGUGAAAAGGCACGAUUAAUAUCUCCAAUUUGGUGCUUAGGGAAAAAAGAAAGUAUGGGCUGUUUCGGCCCUGUGGCUUUCUCCCCGAGGUCGUUGACGCAUCCAGAUGCAGCGGCGGGUUGAGCGGGUGUCUCUGGUGUCCGUGUCGGUGGCGGUACUGGUACUGCAGGUUCCAGGGACGGAGGUGUUCACGGCCUCGAUUGCUGUAUCAGCGGCAGUAGAAUAAAUAUCAGAAGUGUCAAAGUUAGAGACCUCCACGCUUUUUACUGUGGGUUUAUUAAAAAAAACGACGAAUAUCCAUUUUGUUCAUUUAGCGUAUCUUUGCAGAAAGCGGGAAGAGAACGAGAAGAGAGUCCACUCACGCGAUACUUUGAGAUUCGCGAGUUGUGAGAGUAGUUUUUUUUUUUUUUACAUUAAUUACAAAUAAUUUAGCCUUAACAUACUCAUUAAAAUAGGAUAAUGCAAAUAAAAUGAGACAAUGUGAAAAUAUUUUUGUAUUCAUAGAUCUGACAAAAUCGACUGGCUCUGAUCUGGGAGGGCAGUGACACAUAACACACACGACAGAGGACUGACAGCAGCUUUCUAACGCAAGGUUGCAGAGCGCCAGCAGGCAGACGUUUACCAGUGGGUCAUUCUCAGGAUACUGCUGCAUUAUGGCCACCAGCCUGGGGAUUACACCAUUCUCCACCAGCUGCGUCUGCUGAACAGCUGAGAGAGAGAGAGAGACACACAGGGAGAACGGCGCAACGGAAGAGAAAGACAAUCCAAAGGAUUUAUUAAGACAAGAAUCCCUUCAAACACGAUGUUUUAAUACCAAAUGCGGACCAGUGAACCAUAAUAUCAGGAGAACUGCAUUUUCAAGAAGUUGAAGGACAAACAGAAUCAAGAUCCUGACAUUUACUAUUCAAAUUAACUCUGUGGUAAGAAAGAAAACUGUGUUAGAACAAAAGCUAAGAAGCUGAGCAGAAUUGUGAGGCCAACUGGAGACACAUCAAGACUGUUGGUGAGAAACACGAUUGGAUAGACUGCAAUUAUCUUGCU